rnacentral:lncRNA from 1 species
CAAUUACCAAGACUCAUCAUUUGCCAUCUGUGCUGGCUGCCAGUAGGGCAGUGGAUCAUCAUUUUCUUAGAAUAACCAUAGCCAUUUAUGUCUGAGGCCCUUAGAGAAUUGAUUUUCCCACAGGGCCCUUCUAAGGAAGAAGCAGCAUCUGGCUCUGGUCUUUUGCUUGCUACUUGAAUGCAGACGAGAAGCAGGAUUCUCUCUCAGUGAGAACUCUCUCUACGAGAGUCGUGUUCGGGCUCUCUGGCAGACCUGAGGCUGGCUCUAGGAACAGACUGCAGUUUUCAUCUCAUGGAUGUGUAGUCAGUCAUUUUCUCACAGUCUCUAAGGGGCCGUGCCCUUUGAGACUGCUUUGAGACCUUGCUCUCAACAAAGAGUAAAGUAUUUAGAGCUUCUAAUUCCACUUUUCCUUAAGGGAGGAUGAACUCUGUAGCAAUUACCUUAUGACUUCUGAGGAUCACCUUUGGAAGGCUUGGUGUUACGAACAUUGGGAUAAGAAUUUUACAAAACAUCAAAAAGGACCUCUUUCAAAUCAUCAGCACCUUCAGAAUUUUUCUUCUGAGCCAUAGAGAACAAAAAUUGUGAGUUAGCACUUUCUCUAACCUUGUUAAAGAAGAGCACAGACAGCAGUGAUCCAUACACUCAGGUAAGAUUCCAAUCUCAGUGUGUAGGGAACACACUAAACACCAGUUGGUUUCCUGGACUGGCUAAUGUUCUCCACUUUCUCUUCUGUCCUGGUUUUCCCGG